CUGUGUUUAUCAAGGCACACUUCAGUUAAAUAUAUGUACAAUAUCUCUAGAAAUCAAUAUUGUGGUUGGGAAAUAUAAAUACAUUUAUCAUGUUUUGCAUUGGCAUUCUGGGAGAGGUGAAGUGAAAGGCAUUUUGUUGUUUUUCUACCUGCGGCAGCAGUGUAAAUUUUGAGGUUUCCAAAGACCUGAAGUCAGCUCAGUUAAUGAAAGACCACACAGCUAACAAAUAUCAUGAAUGAUGGAAGGAAAUUCACAAUGGUAAACACUAGUGAAGCUGAAAAUCUGUUAGGAAAAAGCCGUUAUAUUUUUUAAAAAAGAAAAAGCCACUAAUACCAAAAAAAUUAUCACCUUUCUAAAGGAUAAGAGAGAGGUAACUACAAUUAAUUUAAUGAAUUAGUUUAGUGAACAUUACAGACAUAACAUGACAACCAUAUUAUUAAAUCUGUUCCUGGGAAUUUUGUAAACAUUUUACACACAUGUCUUUUGUCAUUUAAUUCUCAUGACAACCCUAUAAGUUUUUAUUAUCACCAUACUUCUAUAGAUAAGUAAAUUGGAGCACAAAGAAUAAAGGUCACGUAAGUAGUAAGCCAGGGAAAGGUGAUUUGAAACUCUCAGUGCCCCUACCUACACAGACAGUUUUGUACAUUCAGUUCCUGCGUUUCUCUCCCUGAUGGUUUUCCCUGGCAAUGAGAGCAUGCUGUGGACUUAAGACCCCAGGAGCAACCUUCAACCAAGAGGUUCAGGAAUUGGUAGAAAAAUACUCCAACUUCUUUGCCUCUCUGUGAGACAACUCUAAGUAUUUCUACACAGUCCCCAGAGGGGUGAGCCCCAGUUGCUCCUAGUAGUAACUCACUCAUUAAUGUCCCAUUUCUUUGCUUUCCUUCUUUCCAGGUCUUGCUUCCCCACUCUCUCACCAUCCUUCCAGGGAUCACUUCCUGAAUCAACUACUUGCAUCCAAAUCUUUGCCUUUGGAUAAACUCAGCCUAAGACAAAACCCAAGCAAGUCUGCCCCCAGCUUGAGCCUCUGAGUAUCUGUGUGCUAUAAGAGCUUGUUGUCACCACAGUCCCUGUGGGAGGGUACACACUCAUUUUACUGCUUUGGACAAAACUUGAAAUUUGCCAUGUGACUCUAUCUUUAUCUUAUACCCCAAAUCCCCAAAAACUUGUGUCUGGGAAAGAGAGGCCCAGCCUGGUAACCAUGACCUUCACAAGGGCUGGAUUAUUUCUUCCGAAUCCCCAGUCUCUGUUAACAGAUUCUCUGAUGCCUGCUUCUAGGCUACUCUGACAUGUAUCUCUAUCCCCUCAACCAGGUUGCUGCUCUGCCUCAGCCUCAGCUGUUUGUUCCUGCUUAGCCCUGCCAGGGUCCACUAUGGCUCUGUGAAGGACAAUCUGGGUGGCUCUCAGCUUCCAUAGACCCAGCUCCAGAACAGAUCUGCUUCUCCGACUUCUACUCCUUCCCCACACUGUCCACACCUCACCUUCUCAUGUACAGUUGGUGUCACUGCAUUGAUUCAUGCUAAGAAAACUGCAGUUUUGCCCAUUAUUGCUUUUGUACCAUCAGUGCAAAUGUCAACACAGUGAAAGAAGUAAAUAAUAUCUUAGUAUUAUUAUGAAAAUAAUUGUGACUCACUUUGAGAACUACUGCACUAGAACAUUUUAUAGUGGGUUUAGUUAUAGCCUCCCAAAAGAAAAGUCCUAACCCUUAGAACCUGUGAAUACGACAUUAUUUGCAAAAUGGGUCUUUGCAGAUGUAAUUAAGGAUCUCAAGAUGAGAUCAUCCUGGAUUGAGGAUCCAAUGAGAAGUGUCUUUAUAAGAGAACAGAAGGCAAGAAGACAGAGGAGAAAAGGCCAUGUGAAAACGGAAGCAGAGAUUGGAGUGAUGUGUCUACAAGCCAAGGAACGCCAAGGAUUACUUGCAAUUACCGAAGCUAGGAGAGAGGCAUGGAAUGGCUUCUCCUUCAGAACCUCCAGAAGGAACCAACCCUGCUGCCACCUUGAUUUCAGACUUGAGGCCUCCAGAACUACACCAUGAGAAGGCAGCCAUCUGCAAGCCAGGAAGAGGACCCACACCAGAACCUGACCAUGCGGGCACCCUGAUCUCAGACUUCCCAGCCUCCACAACUGAUUUUGAAACUUCCAAGUGAAGAGGAGACAUCCUAUUCUCUUUCGGCUGUCAUUGCUUGAAAUGAAACCUGCAAAGUGCUUGAGAAUCACAGACCGAUACUCCUGCAGUCACAACUUCAGAAACACUUUUAGAGGUUCAUGGCUUCCAUCAACAGUAAAUUAUGCCCAAGACCACACCGAAAUGGACAAGCUGAUUAUAAAAUUCAUAUAAAAUUUCAAGAGACUCAGAAUAAACAAAACAAUCUUGAAAAAGAACACAGUUGGAGGACUCACACUUCCCAAUUUAGAAACUUACCACAAAGCAACAGUAAUCAAGACAGUAUGGUACUGGCAUAAGGAUAAAAAUAAAGAACAAUGGAGUAGAAUUGGGAUUCCAGAAAUGAACCUAUAUAUCUAUGGUCAACUGAAAUUUGACAAGAAUGCCAAGACCAUUCAAUGGGGGAUACAAUAGUGUUUUCAGCAAUUGGUGCUGGGACAACUGGACACCCACAUGCAAAAGAAUGAAGUUGGAUCCCUACUUGCAAUACUGUGAUUUAUAAGAAAUAUAUAUAUUUGGUCAUUCAGAUGACCGAAAUAUAUUUCUCAGAUAUGUUUGGUCUUCAUCCACAGUUCCUGGCUCACAGCUCCCCAAAAUCUUGGAAUUUCCUGAGCGAUAAGAGCAAUGGGAGUAUAAUAUUUGGUCUCUUGUCCUCAGUUCCCGAAAGCACCUCAGGGCCAUAAAGGUGACUUUUGGAUCCUGGUUGCCAGGAGAACCAGCCAUGUGGUCAGAGGAUUGGAACUUUCAGUCUCACCCCUUGAUUUCUGGGGAGUGGAGGGGGGCUUGAGGUUGAAUCAGUUGCCAAUGGCCAAUAACUUAGUCAGUCGUGACUACAUAACGAAGCCUCCAUAAAAACUCAAAAGGACGGUGCCUCAGCCUUUUUUAGAGAGCUUCCAUGUUGGGGAACUAAAAUGCUUCCAUGUGCCACCGUGGCAGGUCCCAAGCUUCACGGCUCCACAAGGACAGAAGCUCCUUUGUUUAGGAUCCUACCAUAUGUAUCUCUUCGACUGGUUGUUGAUUCGGAUCCUUUAAUGUCCUUUGUAAUAAAUUGGUAAUCUAGUAAGUAAACGGGUUUUCUUGAGUUCUGCGAGCCGUUCUAACAAAUUAAUCGAACCCAAGGAGGAGGUUGUGGGAACUUCUGAUUUAUAUCCACUCAGUCAGAAGUACAGGUAACAACCUGGGCUUGUGACUGGCAUCUGAAGUGGAAGGCAAUCUUGUGGGACAGAGGCCUUUACCCAUGGAAUCUGAUUCUAUCUCUGGAUGGAUAGUGUCAGAAUUGAGUUGUAUUCUUGGACCCCUUGCUGGCAUCUGAGAACUGCUUGUUGGUAUGGGGAGGCCUCCAUGCACCCAUGUUGGAAUUGGGUCCAGGAACCAUUUGCACUAUCUCACAUUACAUACAAAAUAACUCAAAAUGGAUCAAAGACAUAAAUGUAAAAGCUGAAACUAUAAUACUCUUAGAAGAAAACAUAAUAGUAAAUCUUCAUGACCUCAGAUUUGGCAAUGGAUUCUUAGAUAUGAGACCAAAAGCAUGAGUAAUAAAAGAAAAAAUAGAUAAAUUGAAUUUCAUCAAAAUUAAAAACUUCUAGUGUCAUGCUUCAAAUGACACUAUCAAGAAAGUGAAAAGGCAACUCACAGAAUGGGAGAAUAUCUUUACAAAUCAUAUAUCUGAUUACAUACUUACAUCUAGAAUAUAUAAAGAACUCUUAAAACUCAAUAAUAAAGACAUAUAACCCAAUUUAAACAAUGGGCAAAGGGUCUGAAUAGACAUUUCUCCCGAGAAGAUAUAUAAAUGGCCAAUAAACACAUAAAAAGAUACUCAACAUAAUCAGUCAUCAGGGAAAUGCAAAUCAAAACCACAAGAUAUCACUUCGCACCACUAGGAUGGCUAUCAUUAAAAAGUCAGAUAAUAGCAUGUUGGUGACAGAAAUUAGUCACGAAAGACCACAUAUUGUAUGAUUCCAUUUAUAUGAAAUAUCCAGAAUAGGCAAAUCUAUAGAGACAGAGAGUAGAUUAUUGGUUGCUUACGGCUGGGAGGAAUGGCAGGUCAGGGAGGUGAUAACUAAAGGUACAGAAUUUCUUUUUGGAAUGAUGAAAAUGUUCUAAAAUUACUGUUAUGAUGGUUGCACAUAUAUGCAAAUAUAUUAAAAACCACUGAAUUGUAUACUUUAAAUAUGUGAAUUUUGCGGUAUUUCAAUUAUGUAUCAG